GAUGAACGCUAGCGGCAGGCUUAACACAUGCAAGUCGAGGGGUAACAGGGUGCUUGCACCGCUGACGACCGGCGCACGGGUGCGUAACGCGUAUAGAACCUACCUUUUACAGGAGAAUACCCCAGAGAAAUUUGGAAUAAUGCUCCAUAGUAUUAUUGAAUGGCAUCAUUUGAUAAUUAAACAUUUAUGGGUAAAAGAUGGCUAUGCGUUCUAUUAGCUAGAUGGUAAGGUAACGGCUUACCAUGGCAACGAUAGAUAGGGGUCCUGAGAGGGAGAUCCCCCACACUGGUACUGAGACACGGACCAGACUCCUACGGGAGGCAGCAGUGAGGAAUAUUGGACAAUGGAGGCAACUCUGAUCCAGCCAUGCCGCGUGCAGGAAGACGGUCCUAUGGAUUGUAAACUGCUUUUAUACAGGAAGAAACACUCCCUCGUGAGGGAGCUUGACGGUACUGUAUGAAUAAGCACCGGCUAACUCCGUGCCAGCAGCCGCGGUAAUACGGAGGGUGCAAGCGUUAUCCGGAAUCAUUGGGUUUAAAGGGUCCGUAGGCGGGCUAAUAAGUCAGGGGUGAAAUCCAACAGCUUAACUGUUGAAUUGCCUUUGAUACUGUUAGUCUUGAGUUAUAUGGAAGUAGAUAGAAUGUGUAGUGUAGCGGUGAAAUGCUUAGAGAUUACACAGAAUACCGAUUGCGAAGGCAGUCUACUACGUAUAUACUGAC
rnacentral:rRNA from 1 species